GUUGCAGCCAAGCUUGAAGUCUGAGGGGAUAAAUUGCAUUCACCCAAGUGUCCUCGGCUUUGUAAGGUAAUGGAAUCUGAUCAGGUCUGUGAAGUUCAUGGCGGGUCCUACGCACAUUAAUCAGCACGGAGUUAGGGGAGAGACGAAAGUUCAAAAUGCUCAUCACGAGAUUUUCAAGAGUGUUUUGGGUGGAUUCAUCAAGCAAGAUAUUCAGGAAAAGCAAAGAACGUCUUAGGUAUUGCGACAGUGAAGCCCAUCAGGAGCUGCAGACACAUCGGAGGGGCUCUGUCUCUGUGUUUUUCUUCUGGUUGAUGUGCAUUUUCGAGAGAACUCGUCUGCCUGUAGGAAACGUCCGCGUAUUUGAGUUAAUUGAUGGGCAUGAUAUUGUGUUCGAAGUCUCCAUUUUGAGUGGUUCCAGUAAGAGCUUGAUUUACAUUGUUUGAACUCAGCGCAGGAAUGAACAGUUUAAAACGCAGAGUGAACCAUUCUGAGCUUGUUUUUCGUGGUCCUACACCUCCAAAGCCCCUCACUACUCCUGAAUUAGCCAGUGAAUUUGAUUUGGAGCAUCCCUUCUUCAAAGUGGUGACAGCAAGAUCAUGAGAGUAAAGUGGACUUUCCUAGUCAAUUUGCAAAGCAACAAAUUCAAGAAAACGAGGAAAUGGCAACUCUAAGGUUUUCAGACAGAUCAUGGCCGGUGAAGCUCUUAAGCUACAUGCAUGAAAUCCGGGUGUUCUUUGCUUCUGGUUGGCCCGUAUUUGCAGAACUCAUCGGUGUAUGGGAGAUAUCUGUGUUUGAGCUCAUCGAUACGUCUCCAUUUUCAUUAAUGCCGGUAAGGAGCUGAUUUACAGCAUUGAUAUAAAUCCAGGAUUCCUAAUUCUGCCUCCUUUGCUCAGUAGUUGCGAAUCAAUGAAAAGUAGACUCUUUUCUGUUUAUGUUUUCUUCUUUUCUGCGCUAGUCUCAAUUCUGUACCUUCCAUUUUAGAAAGAAACUCACAAAUUUGGCGCUUCUUUGAGGUUUCUAGUGGCUCAACCUGGCUUAUAGAACUAAUAAAGUGUGAUAAUGUCAGUUAGACUUUCCUUGAGCAACCUGUU